rnacentral:rRNA from 1 species
UACAGAGGUGUCAAACGUUGUCCGGAAUUACUGGGCGUAAAGGGCGCGUAGGCGGCCUUAUAAGUCAUGUGUGAAAGCUCUGGGCUCAACCCAGGAAUUGCAUGUGAUACUGUAAGGCUCGAGUUCGGUAGAGGAGGGCGGAAUUCCAGGUGUAGCGGUGAAAUGCGUAGAGAUGCGGAGGAACACCGAUGGCGAAGGCAGCCCCCUGGGCUAGCACUGACGCUCAGGCACGAAAGCGUGGGGAGCAAACAGG